GGGACACGUGGUAUCCUGUCUGAAUAUGGGGGGACCAUCCUCCAAGGCUAAAUACUCCUGACUGACCGAUAGUGAACCAGUACCGUGAGGGAAAGGCGAAAAGAACCCCGGCGAGGGGAGUGAAAAAGAACCUGAAACCGUGUACGUACAAGCAGUGGGAGCACGCUUAGGCGUGUGACUGCGUACCUUUUGUAUAAUGGGUCAGCGACUUAUAUUCUGUAGCAAGGUUAACCGAAUAGGGGAGCCGAAGGGAAACCGAGUCUUAACUGGGCGUUAAGUUGCAGGGUAUAGACCCGAAACCCGGUGAUCUAGCCAUGGGCAGGUUGAAGGUUGGGUAACACUAACUGGAGGACCGAACCGACUAAUGUUGAAAAAUUAGCGGAUGACUUGUGGCUGGGGGUGAAAGGCCAAUCAAACCGGGAGAUAGCUGGUUCUCCCCGAAAGCUAUUUAGGUAGCGCCUCGUGAAUUCAUCUCCGGGGGUAGAGCACUGUUUCGGCAAGGGGGUCAUCCCGACUUACCAACCCGAUGCAAACUGCGAAUACCGGAGAAUGUUAUCACGGGAGACACACGGCGGGUGCUAACGUCCGUCGUGAAGAGGGAAACAACCCAGACCGCCAGCUAAGGUCCCAAAGUCAUGGUUAAGUGGGAAACGAUGUGGGAAGGCCCAGACAGCCAGGAUGUUGGCUUAGAAGCAGCCAUCAUUUAAAGAAAGCGUAAUAGCUCACUGGUCGAGUCGGCCUGCGCGGAAGAUGUAACGGGGCUAAACCAUGCACCGAAGCUGCGGCAGCGACACUAUGUGUUGUUGGGUAGGGGAGCGU
rnacentral:rRNA from 1 species